CACCAAUGUGCCAUUCGUGCUGGGGAAGGUUGUGUCCUCGAGUGGAUUCAAGAGAGGCUGCAAAGAAAGGUGCACAGAUGUGCUUGUGUCGUUUUCCCAGUGCCCCCAUGCUGAGAUCUUCCUCACUGGUAGUGCAGUAGCCGAGGAAGACGCUGACACUGGUCAGCACGGAGAGCUUACUGACUCUUCAGCAGUUCUACACACACUUGUGCAUGUGCGUAUGCGUGUGCAGCUCUCCACGAUUUCCACACGUGUAGCCUCACUCUACCACCAUAAUCAAGAAACUCGCCUGAACCAUCCUGAGACUAGGCCCCCUUCUAGCCACGCCCACACCACUCUCCUCGCUUCCUUAUGCUAGUGCACACGUGUUUUGUACAUGAAUCACGCACCCUUCUGAGACCAGCCUUCGCACUCGGCAUAACUUCCUGGAGGUUCAUCCAUAUGGUUGCUGAGUCAUGCCCUAUGAUAUGGGGUGGACCACAGUCUGCUCAUACAAUGACCCACAGAAGGAUGCUGGCAGCUUUGAGUUCGGGACUAUUUCCUAUAAAGUCGCUAUGGCAUUCGUGUCCAUGUUCCUGCGUGUGUGUUCAUUUCUCCAGGCUAUGUUAUUGGGUGAUUACAAGUUGUGUGUUGUUCCAGUUUCCCGGUGGAACUUCUUCCUUUUCUCAUCCCCACUCCCUGCCCUUCCUUUCUUUGGAACAUAUACAAUGAACGCUCUUAUAUUGCCUGGUUCUCCUGGCUACUUUAAUGUACAUACUUGAUAAAGUAACAUCUUUCUCCUCCUUGUGAACGAUAAAGACCCUAAGAAUCCCUUAUCUCCAACCCCCAGGCCUGCUUACAUGGCGUUACUGCUGUUACUCCAGUUCUAUCCCAGAGCCCCACACACAGAUCAGCAUUGUGAUUAUUAUUAUAAAUAUUUGCCUGCUAUGUCCGCUUAGAAUUCCCUGCACAUUUAAUGAUCUAUUUGGGCUGGUUUUAAAAUAUGUCUACAGAUUGGGGCGGCCGGAGGGCUCAGUUGGUUACAGCAUGAACUCUGAACAACAGGGUUGCUGGUU